CAGCCGCCGCGGGAAUACGGAGGGUGCAAGCGUUAAUCGGAAUUACUGGGCGUAAAGCGUGCGUAGGUGGUGGUUUAAGUCCGUUGUGAAAGCCCUGGGCUCAACCUGGGAAUUGCAGUGGAUACUGGGUCACUAGAGUGUGGUAGAGGAUAGUGGAAUUUCCGGUGUAGCAGUGAAAUGCGUAGAGAUCGGAAGGAACAUCUGUGGCGAAGGCGACUAUCUGGGCCAACACUGACACUGAGGCACGAAAGCGUGGGGAGCAAACAGGAUUAGAUACCCGCGUAGUCCCUGUCUCUUAUAC
rnacentral:rRNA from 1 species